rnacentral:misc_RNA from 1 species
UACAGAGGUGGCAAGCGUUGUUCGGAAUUACUGGGCGUAAAGGGCGCGUAGGCGGCCUCUCAAGUCGGACGUGAAAUCCCCGGGCUUAACUCGGGAACUGCGUCCGAUACUGGGAGGCUUGAGUUCGGGAGAGGGAUGUGGAAUUCCAGGUGUAGCGGUGAAAUGCGUAGAUAUCUGGAGGAACACCGGUGGCGAAGGCGGCAUCCUGGACCGAAACUGACGCUGAGGCGCGAAAGCCAGGGGAGCAAACGGG